CGCAGCCGCGCACGGGCCAAGGCGGAGCCUAGGCCGGUGCUCUAGAUCCGCAACCACUACGCCGGCAAGGAGAAGCUGUAUGGCAAGGUGGCCGACUAGGAGAUGGUGGAGGAGCAUGAUAGCUAGGUGCUGCUCGAGGAUGACAACACGGAUGUCUCCUUCCUCAUGGUUUCCAAUGCUUGAGAUGCGGGAGAGGUUGUUGGAGAUGGAGUCGGAGGACUGCUUGAUGAGGAGGUUGGAGUCUGCGGAGUCGAUCA